rnacentral:lncRNA from 1 species
CUCUCUUCCAUAUCCACAUGCCUAGAGUAGGCUUCCUCCAUAUCUCACGCCCAAAGAAGUUGGGCUAAUCCAGUGUGUGCUUGAAGGUGUUCAGGCACCGUCUAACUAAAGGAAGAAGAAGGUUGCAUCCGACAAUCCAAGUGAUCAGAUCAUCAUUGAUCGAGAGCCUCAGAUCCAUCUUGAGAAGAUGGAUCAGAUCUGAAGAAGGCAUCUUAGAUUGAGUCUCAAUGGAUAUCUACAG